rnacentral:rRNA from 1 species
AUUGAACGCUGGCGGCAGGCCUAACACAUGCAAGUCGAGCGGAGCGGCGGACGGGUGAGUAAUGCCUAGGAAUCUGCCUGGUAGUGGGGGAUAACGUCCGGAAACGGGCGCUAAUACAGCAUACUAUCAGAUGAGCCUAGGUAGGAUUAGCUAGUUGGGGGGGGAAAGGCCUACCAAGGCGACGAUCCGUAACUGGUCUGAGAGGAUGAUCAUGCACACGUGAACUGAGACACGGUCCAGACUCCUACGGGAGGCAGCAGUGGGGAAUAUUUGACAAUGGGCGAAAUCCUGAUCCAGCCCUGCCGCGUGUGUGAAGAAGGUCUUCGGAUUGUAAAGCACUUUAAGUUGGGAGGCGUUACCAACAGAAUAAGCACCGGCUAACUUCGUGCCAGCAGCCGCGGUAAUUC